rnacentral:rRNA from 1 species
UCUUGAUCUGAGUCAGGUAAGAGUACCCGCUGAACUUAA